rnacentral:tRNA from 1 species
ACCUGGGUGGCUCAGUCAGUUGAGCCUCUGACUUCAACUCAGGUCAUGAUCUCAUGGUUUGUGAGUUCAAGUCCCGCAUCAGGCU